GCGGCGCGUGCUAAUACAUGCAGUCGAACGAGUUCUCGUUGAUGAUCGGUGCUUGCACCGAGAUUCAACAUGGAACGAGUGGCGGACGGGUGAGUAACACGUGGGUAACCUGCCCUUAAGUGGGGGAUAACAUUUGGAAACAGAUGCUAAUACCGCAUAGAUCCAAGAACCGCAUGGUUCUUGGCUGAAAGAUGGCGUAAGCUAUCGCUUUUGGAUGGACCCGCGGCGUAUUAGCUAGUUGGUGAGGUAAUGGCUCACCAAGGCGAUGAUACGUAGCCGAACUGAGAGGUUGAUCGGCCACAUUGGGACUGAGACACGGCCCAAACUCCUACGGGAGGCAGCAGUAGGGAAUCUUCCACAAUGGACGCAAGUCUGAUGGAGCAACGCCGCGUGAGUGAAGAAGGCUUUCGGGUCGUAAAACUCUGUUGUUGGAGAAGAAUGGUCGGCAGAGUAACUGUUGUCGGCGUGACGGUAUCCAACCAGAAAGCCACGGCUAACUACGUGCCAGCAGCCGCGGUAAUACGUAGGUGGCAAGCGUUAUCCGGAUUUAUUGGGCGUAAAGCGAGCGCAGGCGGUUUUUUAAGUCUGAUGUGAAAGCCCUCGGCUUAACCGAGGAAGCGCAUCGGAAACUGGGAAACUUGAGUGCAGAAGAGGACAGUGGAACUCCAUGUGUAGCGGUGAAAUGCGUAGAUAUAUGGAAGAACACCAGUGGCGAAGGCGGCUGUCUGGUCUGUAACUGACGCUGAGGCUCGAAAGCAUGGGUAGCGAACAGGAUUAGAUACCCUGGUAGUCCAUGCCGUAAACGAUGAAUGCUAGGUGUUGGAGGGUUUCCGCCCUUCAGUGCCGCAGCUAACGCAUUAAGCAUUCCGCCUGGGGAGUACGACCGCAAGGUUGAAACUCAAAGGAAUUGACGGGGCCCGCACAAGCGGUGGAGCAUGUGGUUUAAUUCGAAGCAACGCGAAGAACCUUACCAGGUCUUGACAUCUUUUGAUCACCUGAGAGAUCAGUUCCCCUUUCGGGGCAAAUGACAGUGUGCAUGGUUGUCGUCAGCUCGUGUCGUGAGAUGUUGGUAGUCCGCACGAGCGCACCUAUGACUAGUGCCAGCAUAGUUGGGCACUCUAGUAGGACUGCGUGACCAGCGGAGCAGGUGGGGAUGACGU
rnacentral:rRNA from 1 species